CUAUCGCUUACAGAUGGGCCCGCGGUGCAUUAGCUAGUUGGUAGGGUAAUGGCCUACCAAGGCAACGAUGCAUAGCCGACCUGAGAGGGUGAUCGGCCACACUGGGACUGAGACACGGCCCAGACUCCUACGGGAGGCAGCAGUAGGGAAUCUUCCGCAAUGGACGAAAGUCUGACGGAGCAACGCCGCGUGUAUGAAGAAGGUUUUCGGAUCGUAAAGUACUGUUGUUAGAGAAGAACAAGGAUAAGAGUAACUGCUUGUCCCUUGACGGUAUCUAACCAGAAAGCCACGGCUAACUACGUGCCAGCAGCCGCGGUAAU
rnacentral:rRNA from 1 species